AAUACAUUUAAUGCUCAUAGGAGUCAAAAGAACCACUGAAAAUAGAUCUCAAUUUGCCUUUAUAGCAUCCAUUUCUUUUUGCGAGUCAAAGAAGUCACACUGGGAGAGAAACAGGGGCUGGAAGGCUGCUCUCACGAGAGACCAUUAGCCUCAGGAAAUGGAGUGGGGAGGACCUAAUGUACUAAAGAAGCAGAUGUAUUUCAAGUUAAUGCAGAACUUGUGGCCAUGGAAUCCAGAGGGUAUUCUGUUAAAGGUCAUUUUGUGAAGAAAUUGCAGUGGAAGACUGACUGAUCCUUGCCAGCAUAAAUUCUCAGAAUAAACCGUAGGGGAAGAGGAUCACAUCACUAAUACUAAAUAAUGCUGAUUUAAAGGGAUUUUUUGGGUUGUCAACUGAUCCCAAGCGGCUGCAAACUCCUGUGAGCGUUCUAUUGUGAGUAGUAUGAAAACCAAUCUGUUGCAGUGGUAAAGACAGGAGUUUGCCACACUUACCCUAAGAAUAUACACUGCCUUGCUCCAUCUCUGACUGUCAAGUAGAAUCUACUUUCUGAAGAGAAAGAAGUAUCACAGAUACUGACAACCCUAAAUUGGCUGUAUGAUGGUAAGGAGACAUCUAAAUUAAUGUUGUUGACACAGAGCAUGAUAGAUGUUGUGAUAUAGCCAGCUCCCUGCUUCCCCACCAAUCUUAGGAUCCUUGUAUAACCUUGCUAAUAAAUACCAAGAAAAUAUUCAA